CUCGGCAACGGAUAUCUCGGCUCUCGCAUCGAUGAAGAACGCAGCAAAAUGCGAUACUUGGUGUGAAUUGCAGAAUCCCGUGAACCAUCGAGUUUUUGAACGCAAGUUGCGCCCGAAGCCUCCGUGCUGAGGGCACGUCUGCCUGGGCGUCACGCAUCA
rnacentral:rRNA from 2 species